CCGGAACACCCCAAGUCACUAGCAUUCUGGAUAAAAGGUCUCAUACCUGUACACAAAUUUCAGUAAGUCACAUGACACAAAUUUUAUCACUAAGACUAGAUUAUAUCUGAUGCUAUAACUCGGCACCAUGUAUGAGUAUAUAAUUUACAACAUAUUCGUGCCUCUUCUGAAUUAAAUGAAAAUAAAUCUCCUAGCUCUAGUUAUUAGAAUGUGUAUUAUGCCCUAACUGUUAUUUUUUAUUUCAGGAUUCUUUACUUGGAACAAGCCAACGGUUCAAGUAACAAUUGAAAUGAGGCCUGAAAGAUCUUUCCAGCAAAAAUGGAGCUGGCCUAAGAGCAGAAGCCGAUUUCGUCCAUAUUAAGAAUUAAUAUUAAGAAUUCAUUAAUAAAAUGUUGCAGGGCCUGAA